UGGGACCUAGGGUUGGCUGCAGCCAGGGUUUCAGGGGUGUGUUGUGACUCCACUGUGCCAGGUGGCCCAGAUUUGGAGGUCAAAGACUGCAGUCCAAAGUCAAGUUCAAGGAGCCAGGAAGAGCAACAAGAGAAAGGACUGGCAAAAAAGAACUUGCAGAAGUGAGAAUACAGGUCAGGAGUCCCUGAAGAGUCCCAGAAGCAACAGAACGGCUUUGGAGCCAAGCUGGGCCAUGGAUCACACAGCUGAGGAGACUGACACUCAGAUGGCCCUGAAUGAGAGCUCCAGACCCUGCAGCUGGCCAUGCAGAGAUUCAGCAGAGAGCCCUGCACCAGCAAGAAGGCCUUCACCAGAUGCUGCUUCUCAGCCUUGAACUUUCCAGCCUUCAGAACCAUGAGCCAAAUAAAC
rnacentral:lncRNA from 1 species